CAGGCGGAUUCUUAACUACUGUGCCACCAGGGAAGUCCCCAUAUAUGUAAACUCUUUAAGGGAAGGGGCUUGGUGUGUCCUGUUCACAGUUAGAUCCCCAGUGUAGUUCCUGACACAUAGGUGUGCUCAAAGAAUUUGCUGAAUGAAUGAAAUAACUUUUUAUGACACCAAAAUCAGGCAGCCACAAGUCCCAUACUGUUUCGCCUUUUGGAGAGUCCUGAAUAACAGUAAGACUGUAGGAGAGUCCUCACUGACUUCAAGAGAUUCCACUGUGAGUCCAUUUACUUUUUUUUUUUUUUUUUUUUGAGUCCAUUUACUUUUGACAGAGCCUACAACUUUUUCUUCUCUGAUAAUCUUCGCUCUAGGCCAGGAGCCUGUUGUCAUUGCCUUGUUCACAUUAAACAGUAAUCAGUGAGAUUCCUUCCGCCCAUCAUUUCACUUCUCACUAGCAUGGAGCUCAGGUACCACUAGAGGCAUUCUGGUGGGCUAGUCCAGCCAGGUCUUCAGGUCAUUAGUGCUACACAUUAAGCUCUGAGGAGGGGCAGGCUUUUGUCCUCUCAAAAGUGUGCAGAGUUUUGACUCUCUGAUAUAGCUUUCAGUGUUAACAGAUAGGAAUUGGGUGACUCAAAUGAUGUGCCAGACCUUCUAUGUGUUAUCUCAAAUACUGCUUCCAACCAACCUUAGAAGCUAAGUACUAUCAUCAUCCCUGUUUUACAGAAGCGCAAAGAAGUUAAGUACUUGACCAAGUUCACACCAAGAUUUGAACCCAGGUAGUCUUACUUCAGAGCCUACGUUCUUAUCCGUGCCCAUUGCCAGCCUCGUGCUCAUUCGUUUGUACCGGGAAACUCAUGCUUUAUCCCUAGAACUCCUCCGAUGGCAGUUUUGUACAGAUCGGAGGAAGUGGUGAACUCAGACAGCAGAGUCAGGCACAAGAAGGAGGAUAUUAUUUGGUGCCCAUUCAGUUGCUGUGCCUGUUACGGCUUAGACUUCACAGAAAACUAGUAGCAGAGGUUCAAUGAGUUCCUUGCCAUAGAAGGUGUUAAAUUACAGGAUUAAUAACCACUCUCAAGCCAGCCAUCCAUUCAUCCACCCAUCCAAUGAACAUUUAUUGAACACAUACUAUGGGCUGAACAGUGAGGGGUUCCAUGAAGGACUGUAAUCUU